GGAAACUUGGAAACUACCGUUGGAUCGAGAAAUGGACGUCCGAGAUUCGUCCACGUCACCAUGAGUUAAAAUUUAACUCGCAGAUUCACUCGUGAGUUAAAAUUUUACUGGGAGUUAGAUUUUAACUCAUGGUGACGUGGACGAAUCUCGACGUCCAUUUCUCGAUCCAACGGUAGUUUCCAAGUUUCC
rnacentral:pre_miRNA from 1 species